rnacentral:lncRNA from 1 species
UACUUCAUGCAUAUACUAGAACUGAACACAUAAGUAGUAAGUAAAUAAGACAGCAGGUGUGCAAUGUCUUACUCUUGGAGAAGGGAGUUAAGAAUAAGAAAGUGAAAAAACGAAAAUGAACUCUGUACUGUUGGACUAGAACCCAAGGUACAGGAUACAAUCACGGUUUUUAAUCCAUGUUGGUCAGGCUGGUCUUGAACUCUUGACCUCAGGUGACCUGCCCGCCUCAGUCUCCCAAAGUGCUGGGAUUACAGGCGUGAGCCACUGCGCCUG